rnacentral:ncRNA from 1 species
UUGUCGGUAAAAGUCCGGUCCGGGUAGCUGCCAGGAGGCCCGGUAGCAGGCUGGCGGCUCGAUCUGGAAACGGAUCGGGCCGAAGCCCAGCGUCAAAGCCCUGAUAGGUGAGUGACUGAGUGUCGGCGCUCAGGAGCAUGG